UGCAAGUCGAACGAAUCCCAGCAAUGGGGGAAGUGGCGAAAGGGGCAGUAAUGUAUGGGUACCUACCCCGGGGUUGAGCAUAGCCAUUCUAACGGAUGGGUAAUACUCGACGAUGUCGCAAGACCAAAGCUCCGGCGCCCCGGGAGGGGCCCAUAUCAGAUUAGCUAGUUGGCGGGGUAACGGCCCACCAAGGCGAAGAUCUGUAGCGGGUGUGAGAGCACGACCCGCGCCACUGGCACUGAGACACUGGCCAGACACCUACGGGUGGCUGCAGUCGAGGAUCUUCGUCAAUGGGCGAAAGCCUGAACGAGCGAUGCCGCGUGUGCGAUGAAGGCCUUCGGGUUGUAAAGCACAAAAGAGAUGAGAAAGGGCAACUUGAUCGAAUCUCAGUAAGCUCGGGCUAAGUUCGUGCCAGCAGCCGCGGUAAGACGAACCGAGCGAACGUUGUUCGGAAUUACUGGGCGUAAAGCGCGCGUAGCG
rnacentral:rRNA from 1 species